GCUUCUUUUAACAACAGAUGUUAUUACAACAGCUCUGCCUGCCUCCCUGCUCCUGUCAGCACAUCUGAUGGUGAAACCCAAGCGUCUGCAGCUGUAACUCUGCCUGCAGAGCCUGGCUGUUGCCCCAGCCCUGUGGCCACCCCUAACUCUCUCCCUAGGAGCACCAAUGCCUCCCACCUUUGGUGCCUGUAACUAGCUUGUGCUGGGAGACACUGGUUGCAGAGAGGCUUUGGUUAAAGGAGGCAGAGAAGGUGUGAAUGAGCCCAGAGGAAGGCGAGCUCCUGCUGUCAGAGGAGGAGGUGGUGAGGAUGGCCAGCAACUCCAGUGCGCUGCCGCGGGUGACCUUCCAGACGCCAGAGAAACCUGGGGAGGAAUCAUCACACAGGAAACUGGGCAAGCUGACCAUAAAGUACAACCGCAAAGACCUACAGCGCUGGCUAGACCUGGAGGAAUGGAUCAACGCCCAGCUGCAGGAGCUCUACCAAUGCCGGCUAAGGGAGGAAACAGAGGCAGCAGCUCCUGAACCACAAAUAGAUCUUGAAGAUCUCCUGGAGGUCCCUAAUGAAGAACAGAAAUUAAAACUACAGGAAAUCCUCCAUGAGUGCUCCAGCCCCACAGAGGACUUCAUUACAGAAUUGCUCAGUCGAUUGAGAGGUCUCCGGAGAGUCACCAAUCCUCAGAAGAAAUGACCUUGCUCACAUGGAACACCCAGCUUUGGUUAAAAGGAAGCGUGUAUCUUCCUCAGAAAAACCAGGAUCAGCAACAGAACUCCUGAGUACAGUUAGGAUUUAUUAUUGUUGAGAAACAUCACUAAGUUUGUGAACUUUGUACCAGUGGUUUGAAGUCUCCACUCCUUCCAGAUCUACACACACAGCAGGGAGCUAGACUGUAGCUGAUUUUCCUGAUUGUUAAAGAGUGUGUUAACCUGAGGAACAGGAGAAGAUGUCCCUCUCCUUUAGAUUCUUCUAGGAAUAUCCAUGCUGGCCAAGGAGCACUGAAUACAAUUCUCAGGAGCUCAUCAAGACUUCUUUUCUUCGUCCACUGCAAGGAAAACAAGGCAUUGGUUAUCACUCAUUCAUCAGCAUGGAAAAUCAGCCAUUGUUAAGUUGCAAUCAUUUCAGUCUGGCUUGGACCCAACUGUGAUCUGCCUGUUACCGCUGUACCUGACUCUACAGCAUUGCACGUACUUUAUAUUAAAGAAAAACUGAAGUAAAAAAAAUACCUGCUCCCGACUUCCCUUCAGGGAACAUCUCAGAGUUUUUGCAGACAGGUGUCAGUGAACAAACUGUGGGUUGUGUCCUCUGAGAGGACAAAAUCCAAGCUGCAGUAACAACUGUGAUGUAAGGGCCUGUUUCCUUUCACAUGCUGUUGUUGUAUCUGACUGGAAGUUGACCAGCCAUGGACCUCAUGCCUUGUUCUAAGGCUACUCCGAGAACGUUCUAAGCCUCACCCACUAGGCCGGAGAAAUGGUCUUCCUUUAUCAGGUCCAAUAUCUAUCUGUGGGAGUCCUGGGAAUGUGGCAUUUUUGGCUUAGGGGCUAGUGGGCCAUGCCUAUCCUCAUGAAAUCUCAACUUUAUAAGUAAAAUUAAAAAAACCAAAAACAACCACACACAAAAAACCAAACAACCAACCAAAACCCCCCCAAAAAACCCAAAACAAACAAACAAACAAACCAAAACAAAAAAAAGCCCACAAUAAAAACCCCCAACAAAACAAAAAAUUAAAUCUAGAGCCACAGUGGUUGCAGAUCUGGGAUUGCUUAUGGAUGACACCUGCUAAGACUCAUGUAACAAACCCCUUGAGAAAGUAGAGCAGUAUAUUGACAAAAACCUCUAAGCACUGUUAAAAACAGCCUGGCAUCAAACAGAAGUUCAGGUGGAAGUUCUAGGUGGACCGGUCAUGAAGCAGAGUGCCCUAAACUAGAGAUGCAAUUAGCUACACAACAGUAGUACAGGAGUUCAGAUUACUUACAAUACCCCACCAACAGGCUUAGUUUUAUUCUGCUGAGCUGCCACAGCACAAAGACAUGCAUCUCCUCUGGUCCAAGAGACAUAUUUUCUCCCCCUUAGCCAUUGGUCUGUGUUUCCUCAAUAUGGAGUGAUGCAAAAAGAAUUUCUGUCUGUAUUUUAAGGUAGACAUUGUUAGAAACCAAAGUCAAAGCAGGAUCUGAAGACUUUGCUUGACUGAAGUUGUCUUUAUGCUUAUCCUGCAAGUAGUAGGAAAGGAGUAACCUGCAGACCCCAUCAUGUGCAGUUGGUUCUAAUACAUAGGGAAUUCUGAUACAUAAUGAUACAUGAGAGCACUUCAGCUGAGCACAGUGAGAUCAGGGGAGCAAGGCGACAUGUGGCCAGUGGUAGAGCAUUUCUCAGCUCACUGGUGCAAAAGAAAAUGUAAGGCAACCAGAGUAACUUCUUUUUUUCUUUCUUAAACAGUAGUAAAUCAUACUUGGUUUGACUUAUAUUUUAACUUUGCUGUUUCUCAGCACCAUCACCUGCCUAAGUAUGUAGAUACUAUCUAAGAAUGUUGCUUGAAAGGAACUUUGCCCUCUUGAUCAUACCAAGAUAACUCAAGGUAUUAAAAUCCAUCAGCUUUUCUAGUUUGAGUUCCUGUUGGAGUGGAGACUACAUUUGACAAUUCACACACAAAACAUUUUGAGAGGGAAAGAAAAUCUCAUUUUCUCUCAUGACUUGCUACAAAGACAAAAGCAAACAAGUUGAAUCUCUUUCUGAAGAUGCCGAGCUGUUUUCUGUCCUUGAACAGCUAUGACUGAAGUUGAUCUGGCCUGUCAGGAAUUGACUGAUUAUCAGUAUCUUUGUUUACCAGCACCUUUUCAAAGACAAGGAUAGGGAGUAAGCAACACAGCUAACAGUGCACUGCCCACUUGAAGGUGAUGCAGCAUUCCUCUUUCACAAUACAGAUUCAGCUAGGUGUGCUUCCUGCAGGCAGCCCAUCUGGAUACCCCUCUGCCCCUCCUACAGGGAGCUCACUGAGGCAACAGCUACAGCGGGAAUGGCUUCUCAGGGGAAAGUGAUUGGGCUACUACUAAAAUGGCCCAUUACAUGCAGAAAGUGCAGCAGCCACAAAAAUGUCCAUUAGUGGUGCAGGGAAAGCAGCAGUAUGUGUCGCUAUGACUGAAGAGACUCUUCCAUGCAUGACUAAGUUCUAUUUCAGGUAAUGGGUUGGGUGCAUUUCUGGAUUCCUUGGGAUGGCCCCACAGAAACCAACCUGGGAAUCUAAAUAAACUGCUUCUGGCUGCAGCCUGCUCCAUCACUACUGAUGUGAACAGGGCAGCGCUUACAAGACAGAGGCUGCCUAACUGCAAAGGGGCUCCAAGUUUUGUUGUGGCUGAUGAAGCAUUCAAAAUGUGGCAAGUAUCAUGCCAGAUCAUACUAAGAUAUUAAAAAAACCAGCAGCUGUAAACCAAGUAAUAAAAUUACUACUAACUGCUUGGAGAAGAUACAGGCUGAAGCCCAAAGGAGUGGAUCAAUGCAGGAGAGAAAUAAUAAUAGAUAGUUGCACCUUCCCCUGCAUAUGUAAAACAUGAAGGAUUUAACCUCGGACAGAACCAGGCCGUCUUACUAUCAGACUAAUCACCCAUGUCAAAUAGCAAUGAAAAAGUGUCACUCCUAUGAUAACAUAAAGAAAGAAGCAUUUUGGUUUUGUUUUUAAAACUGCAAGCUCCUCAGGGCGGUAACUUACUUAAAUUUUGUGUAACACAGGGUUACUUGUGAACUCUUGCAUCAGAACAACUCAAGUAGUUUUCCCAUCUACCUGUCCUAAGGAGACAGGAACUGGUGAAGCAAGGGCUGCCAGGAGAAAGAAGAUCCUCCACACAAGUCAGGUUCUUCCCGCACUUCCUAAGAAAAGGUUUUGAUGGCACUGCUGGAUACACUUGCCAUUUUUUUGUGUUAACCUAAAGUAUUACUAUUCUACAUUGUUUGAAUCAGGUUUCUGUUGAAGAGCCUGAUCCAGAGCAGCAUUAGCAGAAACCCAUCUUGAACAGUGGUUUAAUUCAUUUGCUGUCCUCUGACCAGAGGUGCGGGUAAACACCGUUUCAUCACUUCACCUUGGAGGCACUGACCUUAAGCACGGGGGCAAGGCAGACAGCUGGGAGUGGCAGUGUCAAACCAGACAGGCAAGAUUCAUUGGAAAUUCCCUGACAAGGGCAAAUCCUUUAUUUUGUUGCAAUUGGAAUUUGUCAGCCUUAGAGAGCCCUCUCAGAAGUCACACGAUUUGGAAAGAGCUCAUCCUGAUGGAAUACUAGAGUCUAUUUACAGCUGAUUUAGUUGGGUAUUUGAAGCAAUUCUGAGUGUUCUGGGCGCUGGCAAGUGUCCCUUGCAUCUGGAUUGUCUCCCAGGAGGGAUAUGGACAUAUGCAACUGAGCUUCUCUGAUAACCAGAGAAAAGAGCAUCACACAGGUAACAUCUUUAUCCUACCAGGGGACGAAGUAAUAAACAAAGUCAAAUCCUGCUUUCAGACUAACACGUUGCUCAUACAGAUGACAUGACCUUGGCACAGCCACUGCAGGCCACAACACUGUAUCAGGAGCAGAUUACCUUUUCAAAGGAUCCUUCCUUUCACGUCAGUGAGCAACACUGCCCUGCAUCUUUUCCAGUCAUGCCAC